rnacentral:rRNA from 1 species
GGCCAGACUCCUACGGGAGGCAGCAGUGGGGGAUAUUGCACAAUGGGGGAAACCCUGAUGCAGCGACGCCGCGUGGGUGAAGAAGCGCCCCGGCGCGUAAAGCCCUGUCAGCAGGGAAGAAAAUGACGGUACCUGAAGAAGAAGCCCCGGCUAACUACGUGCCAGCAGCCGCGGUAAUACGUAGGGGGCAAGCGUUAUCCGGAUUUACUGGGUGUAAAGGGGGCGCAGACGGCGAUGCAAGCCAGGAGUGAAAGCCCGGGGCCCAACCCCGGGACUGCUCUUGGAACUGCGUGGCUGGAGUGCAGGAGGGGCAGGCGGAAUUCCUGGUGUAGCGGUGAAAUGCGUAGAUAUCAGGAGGAACACCGGUGGCGAAGGCGGCCUGCUGGACUGCAACUGACGUUGAGGCCCGAAAGCGUGGGGAGCAAACAGGAUUAGAUACCCUUGUA